CUUGUUUUACUUUGUUAGUUUUGAUAAUGAUUCAAACACAGCGGAAUUAAGAUUUGUUUGAUCCCCCUUUUUAAAUAGCGAGUUAAUGAGAGUGAAGCAGAUAUAAUCAGUUAUAGCAGUUAUGCAAUAGACACGGCAGGUUUUAAGUGGUUCAGGGCACUUAAAGCUCCUAAUCCACUCUUCUACUCCUCGAGUAGGAAAUCCACUAAGGAUGUUUUUUACACUUUCUGAAUCUCACAGAUUCCUUCUAGACCAGCAGUCUAGGAACUUCUUAGUUCACUUUUGAACUUUUGAAGUCCAGCAGACUUGGCUCUUCUUAGUUCACUUUAGAACUUUACAAGUCCUUCUGACUUGGAACUUCUUUCUUCUUGAUUUGUAGUUGAUGAGUUCUUGUAAUGCUACUCAGUUGCCGUUAAGCUCUUGUUCAAAAGAAAUGAGUAGCUGAGCAAGCUUUCUUUUCUUCUUAGAUCGUAUAAUUGAG
rnacentral:lncRNA from 1 species